rnacentral:rRNA from 1 species
UUGAACGCUGGCGGCAUGCUUUACACAUGCAAGUCGAACGGUAACAGGCCUUCGGGUGCUGACGAGUGGCGAACGGGUGAGUAAUGCAUCGGAACGUGCCCAGAGGUGGGGGAUAACGCAGCGAAAGCUGUGCUAAUACCGCAUGUGAUCUGAGGAUGAAAGCGGGGGACCAGGCAGCAAUGUUUGGCCUCGCGCCUUUGGAGCGGCCGAUGUCAGAUUAGGUAGUUGGUGGGGUAAAGGCCUACCAAGCCGACGAUCUGUAGCUGGUCUGAGAGGACGACCAGCCACACUGGGACUGAGACACGGCCCAGACUCCUACGGGAGGCAGCAGUGGGGAAUUUUGGACAAUGGGCGCAAGCCUGAUCCAGCAAUGCCGCGUGCGGGAAGAAGGCCUUCGGGUUGUAAACCGCUUUUGUACGGAACGAAAAGGCUCUGGCUAAUACCUGGGGCUGAUGACGGUACCGUAAGAAUAAGCACCGGCUAACUACGUG